CGUGUCGUGAGAUGUUGGGUUAAGUCCCGUAACGAGCGCAACCCUUGUCCUUAGUUACCAGCACGUUAUGGUGGGCACUCUAAGGAGACUGCCGGUGACAAACCGGAGGAAGUGGGGAUGACGUCAAGUCAUCAUGGCCCUUACGGCCUGGGCUACACACGUGCUACAAUGGUCGGUACAAAGGGUUGCCAAGCCGCGAGGUGGAGCUAAUCCCAUAAAACCGAUCGUAGUCCGGAUCGCAGUCUGCAACUCGACUGCGUGAAGUCGGAAUCGCUAGUAAUCGUGAAUCAGAAUGUCACGGUGAAUACGUUCCCGGGCCUU
rnacentral:rRNA from 1 species